GAUGAACGCUGGCGGCGUGCCUAAUACAUGCAAGUCGAACGAGGUGCUUUUGUAGCAAUACGGAAGUAUCCUAGUGGCGAACGGGUGAGUAACGCGUUGGUGACCUACCCCAAAGUGUGGGAUACCAGUCCGAAAGGACUGCUAAUACCGCAUGUGGUCUUCGGGCUUAGAAACCGAUGACUAAAGGAGCAAUUCGCUUUGGGAGGGACCUGCGUCCCAUCAGCUAGUUGGUAGGGUAACGGCUUACCAAGGCUACGACGGGUAGGGGACCUGAGAGGGUGGCCCCCCACAAUGGAACUGAAACACGGUCCAUACACCUACGGGUGGCAG
rnacentral:rRNA from 1 species